rnacentral:rRNA from 1 species
AGCUAAUAGAUACCCCGGUAGUCCACGCCGUAAACGAUGGGUACUAGGUGCCUGGGGGAGCGACCCCUUGGGUGCCGGCGCUAAACGCAGGAAAGUACCCCGCCUGGGGAGUACGGCCGCAAGGCUGAAACUCAAAGGAAUUGACGGGGGUCCCGCACAAGCGGUGGAGCAUGUGGUUUAAUUCGACGCAACGCGAAGAACCUUACCUAGGCUUGACAUGCAUGGGAAACUCCUGAGAAACCCAGGAGCCUCCUUCGGGAUCCAUGCACAGGUGCUGCAUGGCUGUCGUCAGCUCGUGUCGUGAGAUGUUGGGUUAAGUCCCGCAACGAGCGCAACCCCGUGUUCUUAGUUGCCAGCGCGUAAUGGCGGGGACUCUAGGAAGACUGCCGGUGCCAAACCCGGAGGAAGUGGGGACGACGUCAAGUCAUCAUGGUCCUUACGUCUAGGGCUACACACGUGCUACAAUGGGCCGGACAGUGGGGGUCCGAGGCAGCAAUGCCGAGGCAAUCCCAAAACCGGGUCCUCAGUUCGGAUUGUCGUCUGCAACUCGACGGC